GGAAUCUUCGGCAAUGGGGGCAACCCUGACCGAGCAACGCCGCGUGAGUGAAGAAGGUUUUCGGAUCGUAAAGCUCUGUUGUAAGAGAAGAACGUGUGUGAGAGUGGAAAGUUCACACAGUGACGGUAUCCAACCAGAUAGCCACGGCUAACUACGUGCCAGCAGCCGCGGUAAUACGUAGGUGGCAAGCGUUAUCCGGAUUUAUUGGGCGUAAAGCGAGCGCAGGCGGUCUUUUAAGUCUAAUGUGAAAGCCUUCCGCUUAACCGAAGAAGUGCAUUGGAAACUGGAAGACUUGAGUGCAGAAGAGGACAGUGGAACUCCAUGUGUAGCGGUGAAAUGCGUAGAUAUAUGGAAGAACACCAGUGGCGAAGGCGGCUGUCUGGUCUGUAACUGACGCUGAGGCUCGAAAGUAUGGGGAGCGAACA
rnacentral:rRNA from 1 species